rnacentral:rRNA from 1 species
CAGCCGCCGCGGGAAUACGAAGGGUGCAAGCGUUAACCGGAAUUACUGGGCGUAAAGCGUGCGUAGGCGGUGAGUUAAGUCUGCUGUGAAAUCCCCGGGCUCAACCUGGGAAUGGCAGUGGAUACUGGCAAGCUAGAGUGUGUCAGAGGAUGGUGGAAUUCCCGGUGUAGCGGUGAAAUGCGUAGAGAUCGGGAGGAACAUCAGUGGCGAAGGCGGCCAUCUGGGACAACACUGACGCUGAGGCACGAAAGCGUGGGGAGCAAACAGGAUUAGAUACCCCGGUAGUCCCUGUCUCUUAUAC